rnacentral:rRNA from 1 species
GAUCUAGUGGCAGACGGGUGCGUAACGCGUGGGAACCUGCCCUUUAGUAAGGAAUAACUCAGGGAAACUUGUGCUAAUACCUUAUAAUCCCUUCGGGGGAAAGCUUUAUGCGCUAAUGGAUGGGCCCGCGUUAGAUUAGCUUGUUGGUGAGGUAAUGGCUCACCAAGGCGACGAUCUAUAGCUGGUCUGAGAGGAUGAUCAGCCACACUGGGACUGAGACACGGCCCAGACUCCUACGGGAGGCAGCAGUGGGGAAUAUUGGACAAUGGGGGAAACCCUGAUCCAGCGAUGCCGCGUGAGUGAUGAAGGCCUUAGGGUUGUAAAACUCUUUCGCUAGGGAAGAUAAUGACGGUACCUAGUAAAGAAGAUCCGGCUAACUCCGUGCCAGCAGCCGCGGUAAUACGGAGGGAUCUAGCGUUAUUCGGAAUAACUGGGCGUAAAGCGAGCGUAGGCGGAUUUGUAAGUUGGAGGUGAAAUCCCAGGGCUUAACCCUGGAACUGCCUUCA